rnacentral:rRNA from 1 species
GAUGAACGCUGGCGGCGUGCUUAACACAUGCAAGUCGAACGGAAAGGCCAGUGCUUGCACUGGUGCUCGAGUGGCGAACGGGUGAGUAACACGUGGGUGAUCUGCCCUGCACUUUGGGAUAAGCCUGGGAAACUGGGUCUAAUACCAGAUAGGACCAUGCUUUGGAUGGUGUGGUGGAAAGUUUUUUCGGUGUGGGAUGAGCUUGCGGCCUAUCAGCUUGUUGGUGGGGUAAUGGCCUACCAAGGCGUCGACGGGUAGCCGGCCUGAGAGGGUGUACGGCCACAUUGGGACUGAGAUACGGCCCAGACUCCUACGGGAGGCAGCAGCGGGGAAUAUUGCACAAUGGGCGCAAGCCUGAUGCAGCGACGCCGCGUGGGGGAUGACGGCCUUCGGGUUGUAAACUCCUUUCGCAACUGACGAAGCUUUUUGUGACGGUAGGUUGAGAAGAAGCACCGGCUAACUACGUG